rnacentral:rRNA from 1 species
UACGUAGGUGGCAAGCGUUGUCCGGAUUUACUGGGCGUAAAGAGCGCGCAGGCGGUCGAUCAAGUCGCGUGUGAAAGCCCCCGGCUCAACUGGGGAGGGUCACGCGAUACUGAUCGACUCGAAGGCAGGAGAGGGUAGUGGAAUUCCCGGUGUAGUGGUGAAAUGCGUAGAUAUCUGGAGGAACACCGGUGGCGAAGGCGGCAUCCUGGACCGGUAUUGACGCUGAGGCGCGAAAGCCAGGGGAGCAAACGGG